rnacentral:rRNA from 1 species
UACAGAGGUCUCAAGCGUUGUUCGGAUUCAUUGGGCGUAAAGGGUGCGUAGGCGGGCAGAUAAGUCAGUGGUGAAAUCUCCGAGCUUAACUCGGACACUGCCGUUGAUACUAUUUGUCUUGAAUACUGUGGAGGUAAGCGGAAUAUGUCAUGUAGCGGUGAAAUGCUUAGAUAUGACAUAGAACACCAAUUGCGAAGGCAGCUUACUACACAGCGAUUGACGCUGAGGCACGAAAGCGUGGGGAUCAAACAGG